AAGCACCAUCUCUGAUUUUAAACCCUCCAUUUUCUCUAACAAACUCGGAUCGUUAUAGGCUUCAAAAUUACAUUGAUGUCCUUAAUAACAGGCAAAGCAUUUCAAAGUCUCAAAUGAUGGCUCUGCUCAAGUGUGAAGAUCAACACUGCUCUCCAUAAGGAGGAGAGAGAGCUGUUAACACAAAGUGAUGAUAGCAUACAUCAGUGUCUUACUCUGUAAAAUUCUUUUGUCUG
rnacentral:misc_RNA from 1 species